rnacentral:rRNA from 1 species
GCAUAUAAGGCGGAAUUCUUCGGGAGGAAGCCGUAUAUGACUUUUAUGGCGGACGGGUGAGUAACGCGUGAGUAACCUGCCUUACACAGGGGGACAACAGCUGGAAACGGCUGCUAAUACCGCAUAAGCGCACAGGACCGCAUGGUACGGUGUGAAAAGAUUUAUCGGUGUAAGAUGGACUCGCGUCUGAUUAGUUAGUUGGCGGGGUAACGGCCCACCAAGACAACGAUCAGUAGCCGACUUGAGAGAGUGAUCGGCCACAUUGGGACUGAGACACGGCCCAAACUCCUACGGGAGGCAGCAGUGGGGAAUAUUGCACAAUGGGGGAAACCCUGAUGCAGCGACGCCGCGUGAGCGAAGAAGUAUUUCGGUAUUUAAAGCUCUAUCAGCAAGGAAGAUAAUGACGGUACUUGACUAAGAAGCUCCGGCUAAAUACGUGCCAGCAGCCGCGGUAAUACGUAUGGAGCAAGCGUUAUCCGGAUUUACUGGGUGUAAAGGGAGCGUAGACGGCAUGGCAAGUCUGAUGUGAAAGCCCGGGGCUCAACCCCGGAACUGCAUUGGAAACUGUCGUGCUAGAGUGCAGGAGAGGUAAGCGGAAUUCCUAGUGUAGCGGUGAAAUGCGUAGAUAUUAGGAGGAACACCAGUGGCGAAGGCGGCUUACUGGACUGUAACUGACGUUGAGGCUCGAAAGCGUGGGGAGCAAACAGGAUUAGAUACCCUGGUAGUCCACGCCG